rnacentral:rRNA from 1 species
AUUAGAGGAAGUAAAAGUCGUAACAAGGUCUCCGUUGGUGAACCAGCGGAGGGAUCAUUAC